GUUGUUGCAGUUAAAGAGCUCGUAGUUGAAUUUCGGGAUCAAUGUUUCGGUCAUGCCGUUGGUAUGUACUGAUAUUAUUGGUUUCUCACCUUCUAAAGAACCGUAAUGCCAUUAAUUUGGUGUCACGGGGAAUUAGGACUGUUACCUUGAAAAAAUUAGAGUGUUUAAAGCAGGCUCACGCUUGAAUACAUUAGCAUGGAAUAAUGAAAUAGGACAUCCGAUUCUAUUUUGUUGGUUUCUAGGAUCGAUGUAAUGAUUAAUAGGGAUAGUUGGGGGCAUUAGUAUUCAAUUGUCAGAGGUGAAAUUCUUGAAUUUAUUGAAGACUAACUACUGCGAAAGCAUUUGCCAAGGAUGUUUUCAUUAAUCAAGAACGAAAGUUAGGGGAUCGAAGACGAUCAGAUACCGUCGUAGUCUUAACCAUAAACUAUGCCGACUAGGGAUCG
rnacentral:rRNA from 1 species